rnacentral:lncRNA from 1 species
UAGAAUUUUCUUCUUGGUUAGUGGUUAUAAUGCAAAACUGAGGCAAGAAAUUUGAUUUUUAAAUAAAUGGGGUCUUUCUAGCUGUUGGGAGGUUCUUCAAAUAUAAACCAGUAGUUUAGCUUGUUUCUCAUUUAUUGAGUGUCUACACUGUGCCAGACAUACCCUCCUGUCUAUAUCAGGACCACCUUGGGAAGAGAGGAUUCAAGGAGAAAUGUGGUUAUUAGUUUACAGAGUGAUGGGUCUUUCCUCCUCUUCCCACUCAAAAAUAAAAAAAGAAAAAGAAAAACCCAAACAAGAAAACAAACAAAAGAAACCCACUCAGAGAAAAUGAGUCUCUCUCUAUGAAGAGGACUUGGAAAGCUUUGAGGUUUGCCCAAGGUGUUAUUCCAGGUGAAGGAAAAUAUUUGACAGAGUGCAUCAGAAAGCAGUAAUCGGAAAACAAAACAAGAAGCAGUUCAUAUAGGUACCCCAAAGCUUCAGAUUAUUCAUCCUUUGGUUGGCCACCUAUUAAUCUAUACCUAUUUGAGGAGGGCAGAAGAGAAAUGGAAGCUAGAGAGGGAUAUUGCGUUAUAGCAGCUGUAUUCCCUCUUAUUUUUAAAGAUACCCAUCAAGGGUGGGUGGCAGUCACCCCUUAUAGGAAGUGACUUUGUUACCAUUAUCCUUCCAGUGCCCUCCAUUUAGUGCGUCAAGGAUGCGUGUGUCUCCAGUGGGCAAACUAAACAACUCCCUCCAAAGUAUUGAUGCAGCAUCAGUCCAAGAGAGCCUGGAUUACAUCAUUCCGUGGGCUGUGGGCACCAUGCCUGUGCUCCUGUCAGAAGCUGCUGUGGUCCUGAAACGCUGCACAAGGAGAAUUUGUGCCUUUUAAAUCUUGGGUUCUGGGGAUUAUGCCAGGGCUGGUUACACAGCAGGAAAAAGCCAGACCCAUGAUGUCAUUCAACAUAUCUUCUCGCAGAGACUAGAUACACUUGUGAGCUAGAUUUGGACUUUUAUACUUGCUUCAUGGGCAUAGGUGUUCUGUUUUGCUUUGUUUUGUUUUAAGCCUCAAAUUACCCCAUAUCCCAUGGCCCUGGUUUUAGUAAAUGUCCUUGUACUGUUCUGAUGUUUCAGCUUGAGGUUGUCGAUAACAAACAAUAGUAGCUUCAUAAGGAACCAAAGUGCACUGCUGUUGUUUACUGAUUCAUUUUGCAUCUCACAGAAAAUGUAAUGGAUGAUAGUGACAGGCUGCUUUUACCUGCCAUAGCUCCAGAAGAGGAGGACUUUAAUCUCAGCUGUAGAAACUGUUAGUUAGCUCUUCCUGUGGAAGCUCCAGACCCCCACCAUCACUGCCACCCCUCCCCCACCUUCCUCAUCCACCCUUUAGCCCCCCCAAAAUAGGUUGUUAAUGAGAGAGCCUCUCAAUUAGGGGAAUGAAGGAUGCUCUGGUUGAUUUUUUUUUCUGGAAUAAAUUUGAGUUAAUCUAAGAAAAAUGCUUUUUA